GGCCGUACAGAGGCCGGCUGGCAGGUGUACACUAGGUUGUGAGGAGGCAGGUGUACACUAGGGUGUGUGGAGACAGGUGUACACUAGGGUGUGUGGAGGCAGGUGUACACUAGGGUGUGAGGAGACAGGUGUACACUAGGGUGUGAGGAGACAGGUGUACACUAGGGUGUGAGGAGACAGGUGUACACUAGGGUGUGAGGAGACAGGUGUACACUAGGGUGUGAGGAGACAGGUGUACACUAGGGUGUGAGGAGACAGGUGUACACUAGGGUGUGAGGAGGCAGGUGUACACUAGGGUGUGAGGAGACAGGUGUACACUAGGGUGUGAGGAGGCAGGUGUACA